UGUCACCUACCUAUAGCUAAUGGAGUAUUUAAGUGGAGCUCAUAGGAGUGAAAAACAGCUCAUACAUAUGUUGUCUAAUCGAGCCAUGGAUCCAAAGGAACUCAGCAUAUAAUUAAAUCAAGAUGUGCAUGUGUGGUGGAGUAAAUGAUAGUGAUGGUAAAAAUGUAUAAGUGAUAAUAAAACUUACUUCUCAUUGCUCCUCAUAUUGCUAUCUCUCCUCUUCUUUGAUCUUUGCUUUGGGAGAACAUGGGCUAUCUUUUUUUU
rnacentral:lncRNA from 1 species